rnacentral:rRNA from 1 species
UACAGAGGGUGCGAGCGUUAAUCGGAGUUACUGGGCGUAAAGGGCGCGUAGGCGGUAGGAUGUGAAUGAUGUGAAAGCCCUGGGCUUAACCUAGGAAGUGCAUCGUUAACUAUUUUACUGGAGUAUAAGAGAGGGUGGCGGAAUUUCCGGUGUAGCGGUGAAAUGCGUAGAGAUCGGAAGGAACGUCGAUGGCGAAGGCAGCCACCUGGCUUAAUACUGACGCUGAGGCGCGAAAGCGUGGGGAGCGAACAGG